rnacentral:rRNA from 1 species
UUAACUGAAUCCAUAGGUUAAUGAGGCGAACCGGGGGAACUGAAACAUCUAAGUACCCCGAGGAAAAGAAAUCAACCGAGAUUCCCCCAGUAGCGGCGAGCGAACGGGGAGGAGCCCAGAGCCUGAAUCAGCAUGUGUGUUAGUGGAAGCGUCUGGAAAGGCGCGCGAUACAGGGUGACAGCCCCGUACACAAAAGCGCAUGUGCUGUGAGCUCGAUGAGUAGGGCGGGACACGUGGUAUCCUGUCUGAAUAUGGGGGGACCAUCCUCCAAGGCUAAAUACUCCUGACUGACCGAUAGUGAACCAGUACCGUGAGGGAAAGGCGAAAAGAACCCCGGCGAGGGGAGUGAAAAAGAACCUGAAACCGUGUACGUACAAGCAGUGGGAGCCCCACCACCAAAGCAUUUGCUGUACCGCGUUGACGGAGCGAAGCGACGUCAAACCGAUAAAACAGCAGUGUAAAGUGAGCCGCAGGGCGCUUUGCGCGACAGCGCAAAGGCAGGCGGUUUCGCGUAGCGAAAGCGAAUGCUUUGGGGUGGGGUGACUGCGUACCUUUUGUAUAAUGGGUCAGCGACUUAUAUUCUGUAGCAAGGUUAACCGAAUAGGGGAGCCGGAGGGAAACCGAGUCUUAAUUGGGCGUUAAGUUGCAGGGUAUAGACCCGAAACCCGGUGAUCUAGCCAUGGGCAGGUUGAAGGUUGGGUAACACUAACUGGAGGACCGAACCGACUAAUGUUGAAAAAUUAGCGGAUGACCUGUGGCUGGGGGUGAAAGGCCAAUCAAACCGGGAGAUAGCUGGUUCUCCCCGAAAGCUAUUUAGGUAGCGCCUCGUGAAUUCAUCUCCGGGGGUAGAGCACUGUUUCGGCUAGGGGGCCAUCCCGGCUUACCAACCCGAUGCAAACUGCGAAUACCGGAGAAUGUUAUCACGGGAGACACACGGCGGGUGCUAACGUCCGUCGUGAAGAGGGAAACAACCCAGACCGCCAGCUAAGGUCCCAAAGUCAUGGUUAAGUGGGAAACGAUGUGGGAAGGCCCAGACAGCCAGGAUGUUGGCUUAGAAGCAGCCAUCAUUUAAAGAAAGCGUAAUAGCUCACUGGUCGAGUCGGCCUGCGCGGAAGAUGUAACGGGGCUAAACCAUGCACCGAAGCUGCGGCAGCGACACUGUGUGUUGUUGGGUAGGGGAGCGUUCUGUAAGCCUGUGAAGGUGUGUCGUGAGGCAUGCUGGAGGUAUCAGAAGUGCGAAUGCUGACAUAAGUAACGAUAAAGCGGGUGAAAAGCCCGCUCGCCGGAAGACCAAGGGUUCCUGUCCAACGUUAAUCGGGGCAGGGUGAGUCGACCCCUAAGGCGAGGCCGAAAGGCGUAGUCGAUGGGAAACGGGUUAAUAUUCCCGUACUUGGUGUUACUGCGAAGGGGGGACGGAGAAGGCUAUGUUGGCCGGGCGACGGUUGUCCCGGUUUAAGCGUGUAGGUGUGUGUUCCAGGUAAAUCCGGUUCACUUUAACACUGAGGCGUGACGACGAGGCACUACGGUGCUGAAGCAACAAAUGCCCUGCUUCCAGGAAAAGCCUCUAAGCAUCAGGUAACAUCAAAUCGUACCCCAAACCGACACAGGUGGUCAGGUAGAGAAUACCAAGGCGCUUGAGAGAACUCGGGUGAAGGAACUAGGCAAAAUGGUGCCGUAACUUCGGGAGAAGGCACGCUGACACGUAGGUGAAGUGAUUUACUCAUGGAGCUGAAGUCAGUCGAAGAUACCAGCUGGCUGCAACUGUUUAUUAAAAACACAGCACUGUGCAAACACGAAAGUGGACGUAUACGGUGUGACGCCUGCCCGGUGCCGGAAGGUUAAUUGAUGGGGUCAGCGCAAGCGAAGCUCCUGAUCGAAGCCCCGGUAAACGGCGGCCGUAACUAUAACGGUCCUAAGGUAGCGAAAUUCCUUGUCGGGUAAGUUCCGACCUGCACGAAUGGCGUAAUGAUGGCCAGGCUGUCUCCACCCGAGACUCAGUGAAAUUGAACUCGCUGUGAAGAUGCAGUGUACCCGCGGCAAGACGGAAAGACCCCGUGAACCUUUACUAUAGCUUGACACUGAACAUUGAGCCUUGAUGUGUAGGAUAGGUGGGAGGCUUUGAAGUGUGGACGCCAGUCUGCAUGGAGCCGACCUUGAAAUACCACCCUUUAAUGUUUGAUGUUCUAACGUGGACCCGUUACCCGGGUUGCGGACAGUGUCUGGUGGGUAGUUUGACUGGGGCGGUCUCCUCCUAAAGAGUAACGGAGGAGCACGAAGGUUGGCUAAUCCUGGUCGGACAUCAGGAGGUUAGUGCAAUGGCAUAAGCCAGCUUGACUGCGAGCGUGACGGCGCGAGCAGGUGCGAAAGCAGGUCAUAGUGAUCCGGUGGUUCUGAAUGGAAGGGCCAUCGCUCAACGGAUAAAAGGUACUCCGGGGAUAACAGGCUGAUACCGCCCAAGAGUUCAUAUCGACGGCGGUGUUUGGCACCUCGAUGUCGGCUCAUCACAUCCUGGGGCUGAAGUAGGUCCCAAGGGUAUGGCUGUUCGCCAUUUAAAGUGGUACGCGAGCUGGGUUUAGAACGUCGUGAGACAGUUCGGUCCCUAUCUGCCGUGGGCGCUGGAGAACUGAGGGGGGCUGCUCCUAGUACGAGAGGACCGGAGUGGACGCAUCACUGGUGUUCGGGUUGUCAUGCCAAUGGCACUGCCCGGUAGCUAAAUGCGGAAGAGAUAAGUGCUGAAAGCAUCUAAGCACGAAACUUGCCCCGAG